ACGAGGACUGAGGACUGAGGACUGAGAACUGAGGAAAACAGAGGACCGAGGGCAACCAAGUUGCUGACGGUGCGGAGAGCCGAUAGACUGGAGAGCGAUGGCCGACGAUUGCGUGGAGAGCGAUGGCCGACGAUUGCGUGGAGAGCGACGAUCGACGCCGACAAUUGCGUGGAGAGCGACGAUCGACGCCGACGAUUGUGUGGAGAGAGAGACUAGAGNNNNNNNNNNNAGCGAUGGCCGACGAUUGCGUGGAGAGCGACGAUCGACGCCGACGAUUGUGUGGAGAGAGAGACUAGAGAGCGACAGUGGACCGGUGGACAGUGGACGGUGUGAUAGUGGACCGGUCGAUGACAGUGGACUGGUGGAGCUCAAUGCUCAGAGAAGAGGCACAGGUGUGAUAGGGGUGAGAGGCGGCGUGGAAUGGAGAUAGC
rnacentral:lncRNA from 1 species